UGCAGUCGAACGACUCUGGUAUUGAUUGGUGCUUGCAUCAUGAUUUACAUUUGAGUGAGUGGCGAACUGGUGAGUAACACGUGGGAAACCUGCCCAGAAGCGGGGGAUAACACCUGGAAACAGAUGCUAAUACCGCAUAACAACUUGGACCGCAUGGUCCGAGUUUGAAAGAUGGCUUCGGCUAUCACUUUUGGAUGGUCCCGCGGCGUAUUAACUAGAUGGUGGGGUAACGGCUCACCAUGGCAAUGAUACGUAGCCGACCUGAGAGGGUAAUCGGCCACAUUGGGACUGAGACACGGCCCAAACUCCUACGGGAGGCAGCAGUAGGGAAUCUUCCACAAUGGACGAAAGUCUGAUGGAGCAACGCCGCGUGAGUGAAGAAGGGUUUCGGCUCGUAAAACUCUGUUGUUAAAGAAGAACAUAUCUGAGAGUAACUGUUCAGGUAUUGACGGUAUUUAACCAGAAAGCCACGGCUAACUACGUGCCAGCAGCCGCGGUAAUACGUACGUGGCAAGCGUUGUCCGGAUUUAUUGGGCGUAAGCGAGCGCAGGCGGUUUUUUAAGUCUGAUGUGAAAGCCUUCGGCUCACCGAAGAGUGCAUCCGAACUGGGAAACUUGAUGCAGACAGGACAGUGGACUCCAUGUGUAGCGUGAAAUGCGUACAUAUAUGGAAGACAGCAGUGCCGACGCGCUGUCUGGUCUGUAACUGACGCUG
rnacentral:rRNA from 1 species